UAUUGAUGAUGUAGGCAGUCCUAAAGAAGAGCUUUUAACCUCUCUCAUGCAUGAUAUAGGUUCUCAUCUGUCUUUUGUUUGAAGCACACAAUCUCACUGUACAGUCC
rfam:Capsicum annuum cultivar Zunla-1 chromosome 1, whole genome shotgun sequence